GAUGAACGCUGGCGGCGUGCUUAACACAUGCAAAUCGAACGGUGAAGCAGGAGCUUGCUCCUGUGGAUCAGUGGCGAACGGGUGAGUAACACGUGAGCAAUCUGCCCCGAACUCUGGGAUAAGCGUUGGAAACGACGUCUAAUACCGGAUACGAGGCGUGGGGGCAUCCCCAACGCCUGGAAAGAACUUCGGUCCAGGAUGAGCUCGCGGCCUAUCAGCUAGUUGGUGAGGUAACGGCUCACCAAGGCGACGACGGGUAGCCGGCCUGAGAGGGUGACCGGCCACACUGGGACUGAGACACGGCCCAGACUCCUACGGGAGGCAGCAGUGGGGAAUAUUGCACAAUGGGCGCAAGCCUGAUGCAGCAACGCCGCGUGAGGGACGACGGCCUUCGGGUUGUAAACCUCUUUUAGCAGGGAAGAAGCGAAAGUGACGGUACCUGCAGAAAAAGCACCGGCUAACUACGUGCCAGCCGCCGCCGUAACAC
rnacentral:rRNA from 1 species